GACGAACGCUGGCGGCGUGCCUAAUACAUGCAAGUAGAACGCACAGUUUAUACCGUAGCUUGCUACACCAUAGACUGUGAGUUGCGAACGGGUGAGUAACGCGUAGGUAACCUGCCUGGUAGCGGGGGAUAACUAUUGGAAACGAUAGCUAAUACCGCAUAAUAUUAAUUAUUGCAUGAUAAUUAAUUGAAAGGUGCAAUUGCACCACUACCAGAUGGACCUGCGUUGUAUUAGCUAGUAGGUGAGGUAACGGCUCACCUAGGCGACGAUACAUAGCCGACCUGAGAGGGUGAUCGGCCACACUGGGACGGGGACACGGCCCAGACUCCUACGGGAGGCAGCAGUAGGGAAUCUUCGGAAAGGGACGAAAGUCUGACCGAGCAACGCCGCGUGAGUGAAGAAGGUUUUCGGAUCGUAAAGCUCUGUUGUAAGAGCAGAACGGGUGUGAGAGUGGAAAGUUCACACUGUGACGGUAUCUUACCAGAAAGGGACGGCUAACUACGUG
rnacentral:rRNA from 1 species